UACGUAGGGUGCGAGCGUUAAUCGGAAUUACUGGGCGUAAAGCGUGCGCAGGCGGUUCGUUGUGUCGGCGGUGAAAGCCCCGGGCUUAACCUGGGAAUGGCCGUUGAAACUGGCGAACUGGAGUGUGGCAGAGGGGGGUGGAAUUCCGCGUGUAGCAGUGAAAUGCGUAGAGAUGCGGAGGAACACCGAUGGCGAAGGCAGCCCCCCUGGGCUAACACUGACGCUCAGGUACGAAAGCGUGGGGAGCAAACAGG
rnacentral:rRNA from 1 species